rnacentral:lncRNA from 1 species
GCUGCAAUCCAGAGUCACCGUGGGGAGCGCUGGCCGGGCGAGUGGGGUGGGAGGGAGGGGCCGGGAGAGGGAGGGAGCGCCGGACUCGCCAGCCUAGCCGGGCCGGGUAGCCUGCGAGCUCCUGGCCACCGAGGAGUCCCUGGGGUCCGUGCGGGGGUGCUCCCGGCGCUGAUGUGACAUGGAGACUACACUCAGCCCACGUUGCCGCUGCUGCCCUAGGCAAUUUUUAAGAAGAGGUGGUUCAUGUUAGAAGGGACAAGAGGGUACUGGACACCAGGAGUCGUGGUGACUAUCUGACUUUGAACACGCUAUUCAGCCUCUCUGAACCCCAAUUCCCUCGUCUAUUAAGAUGAAAUGGGUGUACUAGAACGUCUGCACACCUGCAGCACAUAGACGUUCCCGGGCUAUUGGAGCUGCAGCUGCCGGCCUACGCCACCACCAUGGCAACACCAGAUCCAAGCCACAUCUGCGACCUGCGCUGCAGCUUGUAACAAUGUCGAAUCCUUAACCCAACUAGGGAGGGCAGGGAUCAAACUCCCAUCCUCACAGAGACAAUGCUGGGUUCUAAAGCCUCUGAGCCACAAGAACUCCAAAAUGUUUCCUCGUUCACAUUAGCCACGGCAUGUCACAUGGCCAAAACCCUAUGAGCCAGUCUGAUGGGGGAGGGUAAACCUCUCACGGGGAGGAAGGAGAGAACAUUUGGGAACAGUAAUUUAAAAGAUAACAGCUUAGCUGGGUGAUAGAAUGGGAAUUUGAACCCGAGAAAUCUGCCAUAUUCUAAAAGCAGGCCAUUCUGCCUGUUACAGCUCACACACCUCUAUUUCUCACCUAUUUUCCAUAAUAGGGUUUGCUAUUUAGUAACUCUUUAAGGGAAUUCUUCCCUGUGACUCCUAAAAAGAAAAUAAUGUUGAUUUAGGAAACACAAGAACUUCGGAGUGAAUCUGACAUACUUGGUUUUGCCACUAAUAACUCUGCAAUUUCAACCCUUAUACUCCUUUCCCUCUACUCCCUUUCACUGAGAAGCAAAGACCACUUAUUUCCCUUAACCUUAUUACAGAUGUUUUCAUGUGAUUAAUUCAUCAAUAAAUUUGUAACACAAACAAUGUUUUUUUUAGCAUUGAGCUUCCUGACAUAUGUAAGGCAGAGAGGCAUAUGAAUAUAUCUUUCUGCCAUCAAUGAGUUUAUAAACUUCUUGGAGAGACUGUCAUGAAAUAAAAACUAACAGUAACUCUUUUGAAGAUUCAGAAAGCAUAUGCAAUUAAGUACUAAUAAAUGGACUUUAAAUCCAUAAGAAUGCUUGACUAACCUAGUUAAUGUCCCUGAACUAUCAUUUCCUGCUCUGUAAAAUGGUGAUAACAUUACAGUAUUGCUAUAAAGCUUCAAUGAGAUAAUGUAUUUCAAAAUAUCUGUCACUCUUCUCUAGUUUGUGCUGAAUGCUCGGUAACUUCAAGGAGAUUUAAGUUUUUUGACUUUUUUUUCCCAAUAAAAAUCAGCUGGAAAGAAUGACUAAACC